rnacentral:tRNA from 1 species
GAGCUCAAUCUCGGUGGCGCGGUCGGCGACGACCCCGCCGCCGUCACGGCCAACCGGGACCUCGCGGCCAAGUCGCU